rnacentral:lncRNA from 1 species
CUGAUGUUUGUAAGAACGGAGAUCUGAAUGCGCUCCUCCGUCGAAGCCCGCUUGGUCUAUGUGGUGGAUUAUGUAGUAGUACUGUACUCCCUCCGUUUCCCAUAAUAUUCCAUCAAUUUCAUGAUGUAUGUUCCAUUUUCACAUGUCCCUCUCAUUGUCAUUCUCUUCCACUUCCACCCAGCAGGCUUAAGCAGGCUCCGGGGAUGCGUAUGUAGACGCAAGUGUUAUGAAGGCUCUGACGGAUUAAAUAAUGCCCCCUUCAGGAUUCAUGGCUUUGUUAUAAGUGCAAUUGGUUAAUUCUAGUUUUAUGUGGAUGACAUGAUCUUCUCAGUGUCCACGACAAAUUUUGAUUUUGACAGCUAAUAUGCUGUCAGCUUGCUAGUGCUACGUGAAUUUGGUUUAUUGUCUUCAUAUCUUGCAAGAUUUCACUACGAAUUUGGCAUAUGAUGAGAAGCAGGACAAGAUCACCUGCCGCAUUCCUGAUCCAAAUCAGGGACGCAAUAGCAUGAUGACUCUGUCUAGGGGAAUCUCUGAUGCUAAUACUCCUAUCUGUUUUUAUGGCUUCUUGGAUUUUGCAUCCCUUUCCAUGUGAAGCACUGAUGCGUUUUCGAUUUUGAUGGCUAUGAUGGUGUUAUAUGUACACAAGCAUUUUGCAACUAAAAGUAACUAAUCCGAGGCAUUUUGUUGCUGACAUAAAGUUGUUCUGAUCUUCCAGCCUGAUGAUUGCUCUUGUUUGCACUAAGAACGGAGAUCUGAAUGAGCUUUUCCGUUGAAGCCUGCUUGGCCACUUGGUUGAUCAUGUGAAUAAUCCCUCUGAAUUUUCUCUCAGGGUUAAAUGAAAAUAAACCCUGACAUACAUGCAUGCACAAACAUAUAUAUCCCUCUGAUUAUCUUCCACCAAGCAGGCUAAAUGGGCUCCGGAGAGGAACAUGUAGAUGCAAAAAAUAUGAAGGCUUUGGCAGAUUGAUUGGAUGGUGUCUCUAGAUUCCUUGUACUUCCUUAAUAAUCUUGGUUCUUUGAAACUUCGGUGCUGCCUGCUUUCCAUGCAUGCAGCCAGUGCUGUUGUUUACUGCCAUUUGUUUUUGUCUUCCAAAAAUCAACUUUAACUUUGGAUGGAUCUGGGAACGUUGCUAGUUUCUGUCGAUCCUUAUCAUUGAUAAAACAUGAUUAAUGUUGCAAUUUUUAACAUUUCAUGACAUGAGUGAUGUUAGCAUAUGAUGAGAAGCAAGACAAGAACAUCUGCAGUGCAUCUGAAUCAAAUCAAGAUGCAGCAACAGGAUGACUCAUGUCUAGGGGAAUCUCUGAUGCUAUUGUCACUUUUUAUUCAUUCUCCUGCACUAUGCUCUGUUCUUCCUGAUGAUUACCAUUACCUUACUUUGCACUAAAAAUGGUUAUUUGAAAAUAUGCUUCUCCUUUGAAGCUUGCUUGGCCUCUGGUGAAACAUAUAGUACUUCCUCUGUUUUUAAAAAGAUUAGUUAGAUUUUCUCUUUGUAAAUUGCAUCGCAAGUCCGUACAUAUGCACACAUCUUUUUACCAAGAUGGCUAAGGUGGACUCUAGUGGAUUUAUCUUGCAAGUACUAUGAAGGCUUUGGUGGAUGCAUAUAAUGCUCCUAGUAAAAUUUAUUUGCACUAGAUUUGGUGGAUGAUGCAUAGAAUUUGUAAUGCUGCCUAAUACUUCUCCAUUAUAUGCUAAUUUGCUAACUAAUCAACUAGGAAAAUACAAUUUAUAAUUUAUUGUGAAAAUGUUCAUUCUUUUGGUUUCAUCGUGUGAGAUUAGGACUUGAGUGCUUGGGGCAUUGCCAUUGGGGGCAUUCUGAUCUGCUGGCCUGAUGAUUACUAGUGUUUGCACUAAAGAACGGAGAUCUGAAUGUGCUUGUUCGUUGAAGCCUGCUUGGCCACUCCGGUGAUCAGCUUCUGCUGAUGCUGUACUACUACUACUCCAGUUGAAAUUGCACUGGCUGCCAUUUUUGUCAUGCCGUGUGCUUGCUGAAAUUUUGACAAAUUGACCCUUUUUGAAAACUUAUUUUCCCCCUGUGCUCGCUCUGAUUCUUCCACCAAUUAGGCUGAGCAGGCUCCGGGAAGCAGAUUUGUAGAUGCAAGAAAUAUGAAGGCUUGACUGGUCAGAAUGCCCCCGGAUCUAACAAUUUUAUGUUGUGUCGUUUGAUCACUUCAAAGCUAGGUUUUGUGGACGCUGGUUGCUGAUUGUCAUUGGUCUUUGGGUCUAUCCUAACCACAAGUUGAUUUAAGCUCUAUCCUUGGUUGCUGAUUGCCAUUGGUUUUUCAGUUUCUCUUAACUGCAGGUCGAUUUAAACUGUUCGUUGCAUCUCCUUUGUUUAGGAUGUGCCAAAUUUAAUAUUGGAGCUGUGGGUGCUUCCUAUUUUUAAUAGAAGGACAGCAGCAACAAAUUUCACAGGAGCAGCAAAAAGGGUUGCAGAUUCAGAUCAGGUGCUUUGUGUUUUUAGGCCAUUUACAAUGCAAGGACGAGGCGUGUGGCAAUGUAGAGCCUGUGUUGCAACUAAUUUGCGAGACGAAUCUUUUAAGCCUAAUUGCUCUAUGAUUUGAUAAUUUGCUAUGACAGAUUAAUUAAGCUUAAUAAAUUCAUCUCGCGGUUUAUUGAUAGAUUCUAUAAUGUAAUUAGUUUUUUUUAAUUAGUGUCCGAACAUCUCAUGCGAUGUGACACGCUUGCUGGGCUGACUCUACAUGUAAUGCCUGGGCUGAAUAAGCCGUAGUAGUCUCUUGGGCAUUUUUAUUGGGACUGUCUUUCGAACGACUAUUGGGACUGUCUUUCUAACCUUUAGCAGAAAUACAAUAAAAAAUCUGCCAAUUAUAAGUACGGUUUAAUUAAUACUCCCUCCGUUUCGAAAUGUUUGACGCCAUUAACUUUUUAGCACAUGUUUGACCGUUCGUCUUAUUCAAAAAAAUUAAGUAAUUAUUAAUUGUUUUUCUAUCAUUUGAUUCAUUAUUAAAUAUAUUUUUAUGUAGGCAUAUAAUUUUACAUAUUUCAUGAAAGUUUUUGAAUAAGACGAACGGUCAAAUAUAUGCUAAAAAGUCAACGGUGUCAAACAUUUCGAAACGGAGGGAGUAUGCAAUUAUAAUAUAACUAUCGAAUAAUUAUAAUAUAGCUUGAAUGUAAGUUGCAUGUAAUUACUUCCUUUUGUUCCAAAAUAAAUUUAUCUUUUUCAUCAUUCACACACCAAUAAAAACAAAUAUACCCAUAUUAUUAAAUACCAAUGCAAUUAUUUUUCAUUUUAUCUACUCUCAAUAUAAUUAUUUUCUACUUUUAUAAACUUUGAUCAGUUGAUGUAAUGGUUACUGAGAAGUGAACUUAUUUUGGGAAAAAAAAAUCCUUCGUAGCUAUUUUUUAUGGUUACGGGACAAUGAGAUUUUUGUUUUUGCAGCUAGCAUAAAUAUCAGUUCACAUCCAACGGUCAGCACCAAUCUCAAUACCCAUCCAACGGUUUAGAAAUCUGACUGAUAUAGCUACCAAAAAUCUGUCGAAUGACAGAUAGCAAAACCAUUUUUAUUGUACUGCAAAAUCGUCAACCGUCAAAAUUACUCUGACUGAUAUAGCUACCAAAAAUCUGUUGAAUGACAGAUAGCAAAACCAUUUUUAUUGUACUGCAAAAUCGUCAACCGUCAAAAUUACAUCCGGCUCCUUUGGGCCAACCUCCCUUUGGGCCAACCUUUUGGGAGGAGAUAGAAGGCAGUGCACAUGAGCAAUUACUCAGUCUUUUUUGAGGUAAAAGCAACUACUCAGCUUAAAAGGGAAGUGGUAGCGCUAUGCAUUACAGCUGAGUGUGUAGGUGUAGCCAUAUAUGUUUCUUUGAGUUGGCAGGGGCAGGAAAUAAUAAUACACCAACCCAACUUGCUUCACAACGAAAGAGAAGCUCCAGACAGAAUAGCAGAUAUCCCUGCAUCUUAUGAAAUGACUUGCAACAGUGUGUAUCAAUGCCUUUUUUGUAGUUGGAACGAGCUAACGAACGUUCAGUUGAAGCCUCCUGCAUAACAAGACGCAUAGCCAUGACACAAGCCAGUCCCGUGUUCAGUGGAAGUUCAGUAGUCCACUGGUGUAAAGAGGGCCAAGAGGCCACAAACCCUGCAUGAAACAAUGCAAUUGGUCUACUUGGGGCAAUUGGAGUAGUUACCAGCCGAAAUGCUCCUGGAAGUACGUAUCAACACAAAUCCUGCACGGCCACCUGCUCUGGCAUCAACGGACCUAAUCCACGCACAUUACCUGCAGAUUACCAUGUAUAUAUGUGUGAGAAAGGUGGAAUGGUUUAUUCAAAACCUCUUGAGCAAUUUGAGUUUCACAGGUUCAAGAGCUGUAGAAUCUCACCAUGGAAGGGUCUGAGGAGCAUGGUGAGACCUCAAAGGCACCCCUGAGCAGGGGGGUCAGUAAAGGAGUGUCUAUACUCGAUGUUAUACUUCGCUUUGUCGCGAUCAUUGGCACCCUCGCGAGUGCCAUUGCCAUGGGCACCACCAAUCAGACGCUGCCUUUCUUCACCCAGUUCAUCCGGUUCAAGGCGCAAUACAGCGAUCUCCCAACUCUCACGUACUUGCAGAAGCCUCCUCAAUAGUUGAUAGCAUUGCUUCUUUAGAUAACUUAUGGACAUCUGAUGGUUCGAUCAUUUUUAUCUCUUGUUGGCAGGUUUUUUGUGGUGGCAAACUCUAUUGUCUCUGCCUAUCUCAUCCUUUCACUCCCACUGUCAAUUGUGCACGUCAUUAGGAGCAGGGCUAAGUAUAGCAGGCUCAUCUUGAUCUUUUUCGAUGCGGUGAGAUUAUCACUUUCUCCAGUUUACUGCAUAUCAGUUUUGAACACUAAGUUUCUUCUUUCAUCCUGAAUAAAAGUGUGACAGUUACUAACUAUACAGUAAAGAAUGAAUAGCAUCAGCAUGCAAAUAGAUUGUUAACUUACCUGUGAUUCUUGUGAAGGCAAUGCUAGCUCUGGUGACCGCGGGGGCAUCUGCUGCAGCAGCUAUUGUGUACUUAGCACACAAGGGAAAUGCCAGAGCAAACUGGCUUGCUAUUUGCCAGCAGUUUGAUUCCUUCUGUGAGCGCAUCUCUGGCUCCCUGAUUGGCUCAUUUGCAGCCAUGGUUGUGCUGGUACUGCUCAUAUUCCUCUCGGCUAUUGCAUUAGCCAGGCGAUAGACCAAAUUGCCAACUGUUUGCUUCCUGUAGUGUGAAGUAUCAUAUUAUGGCGAGGUUCUUGCACUUACUUGCCUAUGUAAUAAUCUGUGUGCCUAUUUUUCUCUUGCUAUCAACCUCUUCUAUCUUGUGUAUCCCCUUGAUUGUACACUUCAUAUAUGAAUGCUACAGAAAAUGAAAUAUAGAUGUGGUGUUAUGGAUUUAAAAUAUUGUUGUACUUACGAUCACAAUUGUUGUUAGAUUGCAUCAACCAAAUUACCAAAGUGUGACAAGUGUCACCAAAUGAUUAAAUUCAUACCUGCUAAGUGGCAGUGAGCCAGUGAUGGUGCUAAGUGCUCAUCAGACCAUGAUUCAGAGGUUUUGAAUAUGCUUGAUCAUACAUGGUAUAAACAACCAAGUCACGGGAUCUUAUGAAUAGCAAGUUAUCUUCUUCUUUGAUGCAGUGAGAUUAUCCACUUCACUUCAUAUCAGUGUUGAACACUUAGUUUAUUCUGUCAUCCUGAAUAUCUGUUAACCUCUGCUCCGUCUCCACCCUUUGAUGUGUAAAUACCAGAGCAGCAUGUAGUUGCUACUCUCAUCCUCAUUCAUGUUCAUUGCUGACGAUACUUUGUUCGGUAGUUUUGAAUUUGAUGUACUGUUUGCAUGCAACUCCAUAUAAUAUACAGUAAUCACGGUGCAGAAAGACCAGCAGGUUUACGGUCAAUUUGAGCAUAACCAGCAGCUUUUCUUAUCCCUCUUCUAUCCAUUGACCUCCGCUCUGUCUCCACCCCCAACCAUUCACCAGAUGAGGCAUAAAUUCCCGAGAGCAGAACAUAGUCAGCACUUGCAUCUUCAUUCAUGUUUAGAAGCUUCUCCCUCACAAGCUUGCCUAGGGUCAUAUUGCCAUGGGUUCUGCAGGCCCCAAGCAAUGUCCUCCAUACGACCGCACUUGGUUCACACCUCAUGUUGCUCACAAUCGCAUAUGCUUCAUCUAGUAAGCCUGCACGCCCAAGCAUGUCUACUAUGCAACUGUAAUGCCUCGCAUUGGGCUCAAUUCCAUACCUGUCUUUCAUCAGAUAGAAAAAUUUCUGACCAUCUUCAACUAAUCCAGCAUGGCUGCAUGCACCAAGUACACAUAGGAAAGAAAUCUCAUUUGGGUGUAUUCUCUUCUCGAGCAUUUUCUUGAAGAAUCGGACAGAUUGUUCUGCUUGUCCAUGGAAGGCCAGUCCUCCUAUGACUGAGUUCCAUGUCCAAACAUCCGUAUCCUUCAUCGUGUUAAAGCCUUCGACUGCAGUAUGUAAAUCGCCACACUUUGCAUACAUUGAUACCAAUGCAUUUCCAACAACAAUGCUUAUCCAUGGCCGCCGUUCCAAGUGCAACUGAUGAUGUAUCAUCCUCCCUGCGUCGAGCAACCCCGUGUUCGCGCAGCAUGACAACAAGCUAACAAUAGUCGCUUCAUCAGGUGUCCACCCUGCUGCCCUCAUCUCAUCGAACACCUCCAACGCAUGUUUCAGCAUCCCUUGCGCGGCGUACCCAGUGAUUAUGGUGUUCCACGAAACCACAUCCUUUUCAGGCGCACGGUCGAACAGCUCCCUCGCAUUCUCCAUCUCUCCAUGCUUUGCAUAUGCGCCCAGCAUCACGUUCCAACAAACUAUGUCCUUGUGCGUACAUUCAUCAAACAUCUUCCGUGCAGCAGCCAUGUCACCUCUCGCCGCAUGCCCCGCUAUCACAGCCGACCACGCCACAACAUCCCCCUCGCCGGCCUCGUCAAGGAGCACGCUGGCAACCCUCAGAUCCCCGCACUUGGCAAACAUGUUGAUGAGCGCAUUCCUCACGUAGGCGUCCUUCAAGAAUCCCAGCUUCACGACCGCGCCAUGGACCUGGCGCCCGGCGCGAGAACCCGGCAGGCCGGCGCACGCCCGCAGCAGGUAGCAGAAGGUGAACGCGUCGGGCCGCAGGCGGGAAGCCUCCGUCAUCCGCCGGUACACCGCGAACGCAUCUCCGGGCGCGCCGGCGUGCGCGUACCCGCGCACCAUGGCGUUGUGCAUGAAGAGGUCCGGGCGGGGGAUUCCGUCGAACACCUUGCGGGCGUAGCCCAUUCUGCCGCGGAACGUGGCGACGCAGGAGAGCAGGAGCUCCCGGAGAUGCUGGAGACGCGCGGCGGCGAUGCCUCCGACGACCAGGUGGCCGUGGAUUUGCCUCACGGCGCGCGGGCUCAGACGCGCCGAGCCCUUCCGGAUCAUGGCGUGUAUCGUUGUUGGUUAGUCCUGUCGUUGAAGGAGAAGAGAAACGAGAUGGCUGGCUUGGUUUGACGACUUAGUGACGUCUCAAGAUGAAAUUUGUAUAGAUUGAAUUAAAAGAAUAUGUUCUUUUUUUUUUAGAAACAUAGCACAAAGGCAUAGGCUAACAAUACGAGCACACUCAUAUCUAUAAACACACACGCACACUCAUCCCUAUGAAUAUACACAUGCACACCCUAUCGUUAUAAGCAUCUCCGAAAAACUGUGUAUUCAGAUUGACGAAGUCACCACAUGUAUCAUUGAAAGAAUAAUUAGCCAUAAAUGCGAGCACCUGUAUCAAAUGUAGGAUUUGAACCUGGGUGUGUGUGUUAAAUCUAGGAUAAUCUAGAUAGGUUGGUUCUACCAUAAGGACACUCAAAGUGCAAGCCACUCAACCAAGAAACCACAAGAUGCCACAUAGACUAAAGACACGGAUCCUAAUUUUGGCAUUCCCACAGUGCAAAGAGCCUCGUGAGUGACUUCAGUUUUUCGUUUCAGCCCUGCCCCUUACGAUUUCAGCCCUCAUAUUUUUUCAAUUUACAAAUAAGUCCAAAUUUUACACUAACCACCCUAAAUUUGAGAGAAAAAUAUAAAUCCCACCCCCUAACCCCACCACCUCAUCCACCCCCAAAACCCCCUCCCAUUCCCCUACACCCCCACCUUGGCGAGUUCACCGGUGACGAACUCCACCACCUCCGCCCCCCACUCCGCUCUGCAACGAACUCUCCCCGCCAGUGGCCUCUGCCCUCUCCUCGCCGGCAGCCUCUCCCUUCUCCCUGCCAGCAGCUUCUCCCUGUCAACGCCUCUCCACUUCCGGCGGCAUGGAGCUCGAUGCUGGGCGGAGCGGCGAUGACAUCCUCUUCCCUUCUGCAGCCACGAGCUCCGGAUUUGGCCUGGCACUGGGCGGCGAGGGCGGAGGUCGAUCUUGGCGGCGCAAAUCGGGUCGACGAGCUCUCCGGCGGUGGCGCGGAGUGGUAGGCUGCAGCCGCCUAGCUCGAGGCGGCGAGGGUAGAGAUGGAUCUCGGCGGCACAAAUCGAGUCCAAGAGCUCCCCGACAACGACACGGAGUGGGAGGCUGCAGUCGCCGUCAAGCUCAUGUGCAGCGGCUGUAUGUGGCGAGGGACUGGCAUGGCGAACGGCUUUUUCAGCUUUACUUGUGCCUUUUUCAUGUUUUUCAGACAAGGAACUUGCCUCUUCGUUGAGGAACAAAAAGUUCUGCAAAGGUGCAAGGGUCCACACCUUCUCUCCUCCACGACAUCAUGAAGUCUACGUGGUGGGAUGAAGGAACGCUCCAGCGUGAAGCAUUGUGAAUAGCCUAACAAACAAACUUAAGCUACGCUCACUUCACAAGAAAAGAAGAUGUUUGUCCCCUAUUGUGGACCUUUCUUUUUUUUUUCUUCCUUUGGGAGGGAUGCUUAGUUAUAUUGAACAACGUUUUCUAACAACUCCAUUAUGUACUUAUUGGCUUAUUAAUUGAAGCUAAAACUAAAAUUUUAAAAUAUAAUUUCAAAAUUAGUUUUGAUUUUUUUAAUGCUACUAUUCAGCAUUAGCUCUUAAUUCACCAUAAAACAUAAAUUAAAAGGUUUAUUUAUAAAUUAUUUUCAAUUGCUUCAUGUAUUUUUGCAAGGCUUGUCAACAGUUUUUCCUUAAAAUUUCCCAAAUUUUAAUUACUUUUGUUUUGAUUCAAACACCCAAACUUGCACGAUUAAAUACAAAACUCGAGUAGAAUUUGAACCUUUUCCCAAAUUUAGGUUACUUUUUUUUUGUUUGUUCAAACACCAAAACUUGCACGGCUGAAUACAAUUCUAGUAGAAUUUGGACUUCGAAAUACUACUAGAAAA